rnacentral:rRNA from 1 species
CGGACGGGUGAGUAACACGUGGAUAACCUACCUAUAAGACUGGGAUAACUUCGGGAAACCGGAGCUAAUACCGGAUAAUAUUUUGAACCGCAUGGUUCAAAAGUGAAAGACGGUCUUGCUGUCACUUAUAGAUGGAUCCGCGCCGCAUUAGCUAGUUGGUAAGGUAACGGCUUACCAAGGCAACGAUGCAUAGCCGACCUGAGAGGGUGAUCGGCCACACUGGAACUGAGACACGGUCCAG